AUUGAACGCUGGCGGCAUGCCUUACACAUGCAAGUCGAACGGCAGCGGGGGAGAAGCUUGCUUUUCCUGCCGGCGAGUGGCGAACGGGUGAGUAAUACAUCGGAACGUGCCCUGUAGUGGGGGAUAACUAGUCGAAAGGUUAGCUAAUACCGCAUACGACCUGAGGGUGAAAGUGGGGGACCGCAAGGCCUCAUGCUAUAGGAGCGGCCGAUGUCUGAUUAGCUAGUUGGUGGGGUAAAGGCCUACCAAGGCGACGAUCAGUAGCUGGUCUGAGAGGACGAUCAGCCACACUGGGAGUGGGACACGGCCCAGACUCCUACGGGAGGCAGCAGUGGGGAAUUUUGGACAAUGGGCGAAAGCCUGAUCCAGCAAUGCCGCGUGUGUGAAGAAGGCCUUCGGGUUGUAAAGCACUUUUGUCCGGAAAGAAAUGGCUCUGGUUAAUACCUGGGGUCGAUGACGGUACCGGAAGAAUAAGGACCGGCUAACUACGUGCCAGCCGCCGCCGUAA
rnacentral:rRNA from 1 species